rnacentral:rRNA from 1 species
CCUACGUGGGGCAGCAGUGAGGAAUAUUGGUCAAUGGGCGCGAGCCUGAACCAGCCAAGUAGCGUGAAGGAUGACUGCCCUACGGGUUGUAAACUUCUUUUAUAAAGGAAUAAAGUGAGGCACGUGUGCCUUUUUGUAUGUACUUUAUGAAUAAGAAUCGGCUAACUCCGUGCCAGCAGCCGCGGUAAUACGGAGGAUCCGAGCGUUAUCCGGAUUUAUUGGGUUUAAAGGGAGCGUAGAUGGGUUGUUAGGUCAGUUGUGAAAGUUUGCGGCUCAACCGUAAAAUUGCAAUUGAUACUGGCAGUCUUGAGUACAGUUGAGGUAGGCGGAAUUCGUGGUGUAGCGGUGAAAUGCUUAGAUAUCACGAAGAACUCCGAUUGCGAAGGCAGCUUACUAAACUGCCACUGACAUUGAUGCUCGAAAGUGUGGGUAUCAAACAGGAUUAGAUACCCCAGUAGUC